GAGAAAGUGUGUGUUGGGGAUAGAUAAACUACCUGGUAAAGGGUUUGAACAUAUACAAAGUGUUAAAAUUUUAUUAAAAGAAAAAUGUUGGGGUUUGAAAAAAAUGGACCAUCAUUCCUCAUUGGAACACCAUAGCUCAUUAAAAGAAAAAAAGAAAAAAGAAAAAAAAAACACAAACCAGCAUGGUUUGACAUCAUGUGGGGUCAUGAACAAAUCUGUCUCAUGCUUUGAAAAGUACAUUCAGCAAAAUUUUAAAAAUAAAAGUUUUUAGACAAAUGUGAUAAGGAACCGUCAUCUCCAGUCUCGAUAGGUGGUCAUUUGUAAUUUUCAUAAAAGCAGUUCGUUUGCAGUAUGGCUUUUGUGUAGCUAGGGGGUUUUUAGUGUGAAGAAAGGUAUGUGGGCUUUAAAAGUGAUUUUAAACCUUGAAUAGAAAAAUCACAUAAAUUGGCUUUAAUAAAAAUGUCACCUUUUAUUAUUGACAUUAAUUUAAGUAAUCAUACCAUGUAUUUUUAAAUACACGUCUGACUUGAAUCGUGAGGCAAUAAGAUACUGUCGAUGUGAUGAUCACAGAACCAACCCUUAUAGUUUUACUUAUUUUGUUUACUCUAUAAAUCUAUAGCAGAGUUUCUCUAUUUUGUAUUUCAUAGAUUUAAAGAAAUCCCAAAUAAAGAUGGAUUUUAGAUUCACUGUGGACAAGAAUAUUGAAUAAGAAAGUUUAAAAAGCAAGCAAAUCCUCAAUAAUCUGGAAUAGUCUACACAGCUUUAGAAAUAUACUAAGAUGCGGGACUGUCUUUAACAUCACUGUCAGCUCCAGGCAGGGUACACACAUUAGGUAUUGUUUAAAAUAAUAAAACCAAAAAAAAAAAUCCAAACUUUUCUUCUGUCGUUUGCACUGAUACUAUUUUUCUUCUGUGUUUAUCCAACAUGUUUAUAUUGUGUGGGGGAAAUUCUGUUUUACUUUCUUGCUUUUCUGGUGAUCCUGGUUUGAUUUUCUUGUUUUGUUUUUGGCUAAGUAGAGGACAUGGACUAGUUGUAGCAAGCAAAACACCCCGUUUGCUCUUCUCAGUGAGUACAUGCUCUGCAGUGGUGGUAACUUAGAGGACGAGAUGGUAACAAAGCUUGAACUAUGAAGGUUAUGGUGUGACUAUUUUGGUACUAGAACCAGUUCAUGCUGGCCAAAAAGACAAUGGUUUUUGGACUUGCAUCCAUUUUGUAUUUUUGUAACAUUUGUAAAUACAAACUUUUUAAAUUGUUGCAAAGAUGGUUUCUUUUGUAAGAUGUUUUCAACGUUUACAUUCAAUCCAAGCCUUUGUAUAUUUUAGAGCUGUGCAACACUUUAAGUCUUGUAUUUAUUUUUAGUAAAAACGGUGACAGUUUCAUUGUGAACCCCUCUCCAAAAAAUGUAUCAGAAAAGUUUGAUUACCUAGAAAGUGUGUAUAGAGACUGCAAAUAAACGUGACUGCAAUUAAAC
ensembl:lncRNA